rnacentral:lncRNA from 1 species
AGCCAGGUCAUGAAAGACUAUUUUGUUCAGCAUGAGAAUAAAAUACUGAGAAAAAUUCAAUCCCUAACUCACCAUUCCUAUGAAGUAGCAUAUGUUAGUGAACUGCAACAGAGACACUGUGAGAUACAAAUAAAAGCUACUCAAGAAAAACUGAAGACCCUUCAGGAGAAGAUGUCAGAGCUAAUAAGGCGAAUUCACCCAGAGUUGUUGACAGAACUCAGGAAGUAUUGCCAGUCAGUCAAGGGAAAACAUGAGGGUGACCAUGUAGAUGACUUAGAACAAAUUGAUGGCUAUCUUGAAGAGCUCCUUAAACAAGACAUGUGCCAAUCUGGCAUUGUAAGAUUUCCCAGUGUAGAUGCAAACCCAGCAGAUUUAGGAGAACCUGUCAUGCCAUGUGAAGAAAUUGUGGAUGCUUUCAAGAACUGAGGUGGCUUGGUCUCCAUUGCUCAUACAUUUAUACUAUCACAACUUUUAGGAACACAUUAGAAAAUUAAUCUUAACAUAAAUACGAAUGUAAACUGUUAACAUUGAAAAUUAUCAUGGUUGGAUUUUAAUAUAAUUUUGCUCAUGUUUUUGGGAAGUUGAACCUGUCAGCAUCUCCUUUGACUUUUUGUGCAUUAUGCUCUUGAGAAGUUGUUUUUAAUUUACCUUUGAGCUAUAAACACUACUUCUCAUUGUUUGAUGUAGAAACUUCAUAGAUACACACAGACCUGUGUAUCAUAUGUUAGUAUUUUGUAGUAAUAGAUAUUAUUGAAGAUUUACAUUUAGUCAAUGAAGAUAAAAAACUUGAAAAAUGUUAUUUUAGAGUAUCUUUGCUACAUGUUUCCUAUUACUGGAUAUUACAAAUACAGUUGUUUUAGAGAGCUUGCAAACCUUUGGCUAAUUUAUUUAUAUUUAUGAAGGGACUGUUUCUGGCUAUUCAGUAUUUAGUCUACUUUAUUCAUUCAUUACACAGAGAAACUCCUUAGUACAGAAGUCAAUGAGAGCUUGCUUGAGUGGCAAAUUCCAGACUCAACCCUGUAUAUGAUAGCAUAUUGGUAGACUGCUGCACCCAUACAAAGUCCCACUGAAGGACUGGAGCCCAAGAAAAGAAUUCAGCAUUUGAUCUAUU